UAGGGAAUCUUCCACAAUGGACGCAAGUCUGAUGGAGCAACGCCGCGUGAGUGAAGAAGGUUUUCGGAUCGUAAAGCUCUGUUGUUGGUGAAGAAGGAUAGAGGCAGUAACUGGUCUUUAUUUGACGGUAAUCAACCAGAAAGUCACGGCUAACUACGUGGCAGCAGCCGCGGUAAUACGUAGGUGGCAAGCGUUGUCCGGAUUUAUUGGGCGUAAAGCGAGCGCAGGCGGAAUGAUAAGUCUGAUGUGAAAGCCCACGGCUCAACCGUGGAACUGCAUCGGAAACUGUCAUUCUUGAGUGCAGAAGAGGAGAGUGGAAUUCCAUGUGUAGCGGUGGAAUGCGUAGAUAUAUGGAAGAACACCAGUGGCGAAGGCGGCUCUCUGGUCUGCAACUGACGCUGAGGCUCGAAAGCAUGGGUAGCGAACAGG
rnacentral:rRNA from 1 species